UGCCUACGGGGGGCUGCAGUCGAGAAUCUUCCGCAAUGGGCGAAAGCCUGACGGAGCAAUGCCGCGUGAAGGAUGAAGGUCUUCGGAUUGUAAACUUCUGUCACUGGGGACGAAUAAAUGACGGUACCCGGAGAGGAAGUCACGGCUAACUACGUGCCAGCAGCCGCGGUAAUACGUAGGUGACUAGCGUUGUUCGGAUUUAUUGGGCGUAAAGGGUCCGCAGGGGGCCGGCUAAGUCUGAUGGGAAAUACCAAGGCUCAACCUUGGAACUGCAUUGGAAACUGGUUGGCUAGAGUAUCGGAGAGGAGAUUGGAAUUCCUGGUGUAGCGGUGGAAUGCGUAGAUAUCAGGAGGAACACCAAAGGCGAAGGCAGAUCUCUGGACGAUUACUGACCCUCAGGGACGAAAGCAUGGGGAUCAAACAGGAUUAGAUACCCUGGUAGUCG
rnacentral:rRNA from 1 species